UCUUGAACUUGGGUACGUUGCUAUCUUCUUUAGCAUGUCCAUAUUGCCCUUAUCCUACUCCUCCCCCUCCGUGUCCCCCAACAUUUCCACCAAAACACCCUCCACAUGUAAAGCCACCUUUCCACCCCAAACCACCGCAUCACAAGCCACCCCAUGUCAAACCACCGCACAAGCCCCCGUAUGUUCCUAAACCACCUUAUUCCCCAAGCCCUAAACCGCCUUACGUGCCAAAACCACCUCAUACUCCAGUCCCUAGGCCACCAUAUUUCCCCAAACCACCUUACACACCAAGGCCUAAGCCACCAUAUGCGCCAAAACCACCUUAUACGCCAACCCCUAAGCCACCAUAUUUCCCCAAACCACCUUACACACCAAGGCCGAAGCCACCAUAUGUGCCAAAACCACCUUAUACGCCAGCCCCUAAGCCACCAUAUUUUCCCAAACCACCUUACACACCAAGGCCUAAGCCACCAUAUGCACCAAAACCACCUUAUACGCCAACACCUAAGCCACCAUAUUUCCCCAAACCACCUUACACACCAAGGCCUAAGCCACCGUACGUGCCAAAACCACCGUACACACCAAGGCCUAAGCCACCGUACGUGCCAAAACCACCAUACACACCAACCCCUAAGCCACCGUACGUGCCAAAACCACCUUACACCCCAACCCCUAAGCCACCGUACGUGCCAAAACCACCGUAUACCCCAACUCCUAAGCCACCGUACGUCCCAUCGCCACCUUAUACCCCUCGCCCUAAACCACCGUAUGUACCAUCACCACCUUAUACCCCUAGCCCUAAACCACCGUAUGUGCCAUCACCACCAUAUACCCCAAGCCCUACCCCACCAUAUGUACCAUCACCACCGUAUACCCCAAGCCCACCAUAUGUACCAUCACCACCGUAUACCCCAAGCCCUAGCCCACCACCACCACCAAGUGGAACACCGUGUCCUCCGCCGCCGCCACCAAAGGUGAGACCGUACCCUCCACCACCAUCACAAACUUGUCCCAUUGAUACUCUCAAGCUUGGUGCAUGCGUCGACGUGUUGGGCGGUCUAAUACACAUCGGUAUAGGCAGCAGUGCAAAGGACGCUUGCUGCCCCGUGCUGCAGGGGCUACUGGACUUGGAUGCUGCAUUAUGUCUUUGCACCACCAUUAAACUUAAGCUUUUGAAUAUCAAUCUUAUUAUACCGAUCGCCCUUGAAGUGCUUAUUGACUGCGGCAAGCAUCCGCCGCCCGGAUUCCAGUGUCCUGCCUAAUUGGUGACGCUUUCCAGCCAUGCAAUUGAUGAAUGCGACUUGUUUGUUUUGGAGAUUUUGUCAAAGAUAAUGACAUGUAAGUGCAUAAAGUGGAAGUACUUCAUGAUAUCGAAGUUUGUCUUAAUAUAUGUUUUGUUCCUCUUGUGCAUAUCAAACCAAUUAUCUUUGGAGCAAAAUCUAUGUUUUGAUGGAUCCAUACUAUCUGCAAGUUUGGGAUCAUGGGGUGUCAAAUAAUCGCUUAUUUGACCCAAAUUUUAUUUGAGUUGUCCAAUUAGUUGUAACCAUCAAAUAAUUUAUUAUCACACAUAAUUUUGAGAGUAAAUUCUCAAUUGACCAUUAAAAAAAAUAAUCACAACCGACAAAUUCAAAACAGAUACUAUCAUCGUGGAAAGAAAUAUUAAUUAUGCAUUUGGAUUCUGAUAUAAGAUACGCUGAUCUUUUGAUGAUAUCCAUUUUCGCGCCUACAUAAUUCAGAUUCAACCACAAUUUUAUUGUUAUCCAAUAGCUAUUAAUAAAAUAUUAUAUUAAAAAAAAGCACAAAACUUGACCGGCACUGAAUUUAUAUUCAUUGAUUAUACUAAUGGAACCUUUCAUUUGAUGAAUUUAAUUGUUCAAUGAAAAAUAACUAGCUGAAACAGUUGAAGACGGGGUGAUUUCUCACCUCGAAAAGAGAGAGAAUUCCCCCAAAGUGCCGCUUGAUAGGAUUUGAUUUAAUUUAAUUUAAUUUAAUUUUAUGCCUUGCCCUUAAAUAAUGUGGAGUAGAGAUUGCUCUUAUUAUUGAUUCAAAAUCAUUAGAUAUGCAUUAUUAUAAAAACUUUAUAGUAAUUAUUCAAUGAAAGAGAAUUAUUAUUAAUAUCAUUUUCUUUCCAGACUGAUUAAUCAAUGAUUGUUUUGCAGGAAUGGAGCAUUAUAUGAAUUUCAGUCCAAUAACAUUUAAACAGCUCUCUUUAAGAAUGAAUUUGAGUUUUAGGCUACACAAGAUAAUCUGCCGUAUCCCUUGAUUUAACAUUCUAGUUAUUAAUUGUACGUACACAAAAAAAAAAAAAAAUCAUGGAGUGAUUGAUUUUUCCCAAACAGUUAUACUGUAGAUCAUUAAAGAAAAUAUAAAAAAAUAAAAGUUGAAACGAGUGGCCUAAACAGUAAACUUUGGGUGAAAGUUACAGAUAAUAUUUAAUUACGAUGGAGUUUUUUUUCCCCCCUUUUUUGCAUUUCUGAAACGUGUUGCCUGAUUUAACAGAGAAAAGGGAAAAUUUGAUGGUUGACACUUGGUAAUGAUUUAUAAGUAAUUUAAGGAUUUUUCUAUAAUGCUGUAUGUACUUUUACAGCAUUAAUAGUGCAGUUAUUAUAAACCCUUUGAUUUGAGUGAUUUAAUCUUAGUCAUUUAUUUAAUAUAAUAAAUAAAUAAGUAAUUAAUUAAAAGCUAGCAAGUAACUUGUAAGUUGUAGGUAAAUAUUAGUUUUUUAAUUUUAAAUUAAUAUUAACUUUAUAGCAUUUAAUAUAAGUUAUCAGAACGAGAUGCAUGUAAUCCAAGUUGAUCAUCGAGUUCAUGAUCAUGACCCUGCUGCUUGGUCAAUUGAGAUCUUUCCGACAGUACCACAUGAAAAUUCAUUUUGUCGAGGAGCUGCUGAAGUUGUACAGGAAGAAACAGAAUCCAAUCUCUCUAGUCCGACCGGUACAUUUCUCCAGGUCGCCGCCCACCAGGGUCUGGCCGCGUUGGCAGUCGAAUUUGGCGGUGGCAUUCUCUGCUGGAGAACGGGAAAAUUCUCUUGUGCUCCGUGGAACUCUGUAGUGCAGCUGGAUUCAUUGCUUGCUGUGGUGGUUAUAUCUUAGAACGUAGAGGCAAAGCUAAAUUGGCUUGCUCAGAUUAUGACAGGAGUGGGAGGUGUUGCCACUGCCAGUAGAUUUAUAAAUGGUAUGAAAAAACUACAUUAAUAACUGUGCAAGAUCAUGUGAGAAGGAACCCGUCGAGCUGGAGAUGAUCAAAUCAAGGAAGGCAUUGAAGGGCGAGGCGGAGAGAAGGAGAACAGAAUCAGAGGCUGAGAUGACUCAGAUGACGAUGCAAACUCAAUUGCAGAUCGUCCUUUGUUGAGGGGAUGAAUUCGAGUCGAAAGAGGAAGCGCGAUGAAGAAGACGAAUCACGAGUUUCUCAGAGGUAAAAUUCUUGAACAUGUCAAUGGUUAAUCAUUCAGGAACUUGAGACACUCUUUAAGAAUCCAAUUUCCUUCAAGAACAUGAGAGAAAAAACCGAUGGUUAAAUUUAUGAGAUAAAUAAAGAGAUUUUAUUUUAUCAAAUUUUUUAUCUCUUUUUUAAUCUAAAACAACCUUUUCAACCGGUUUGUUAACCGAUUAUAGUAUUUUUUAAAUGAUUAAAUUUUUCAUUAAUAAAAAUAAUGUGUACCGUUGAUUAGAUCUAAUGGCAUAUAUUUCUUACACUAUUGAUGCUGUAAAAAAAAUUACGGUAUCAUAAAGGGACUCGUAAUUUAAUCCUAAGUGUUUAGGGAGAGCAGUGACCUCUUGAAAAAUCCUCUUGUUACACUUUUUUUUUUCAUUUUUUUCUACUCCUUUAUUUAUUUAUUUUAAAUCCUUAAUUAAUUAUAAUACAUAUAUAUAUUUUUUUUUCCAAAAAAGUUUCUAUCAAAUUGAUAACAUGUAGAUACACAAUGUCAGAAGGAUUUCUAUCCUUGGUAUCAGUCAUUGUGGAACAAUUCAAAUGAAUAUACAGACAACGAGAAAGAGGUAUCAAUACCCCCUCAGAUUUCUCACAAUUACUAACACAUGCGAGGAUUGCUUUUAUUAUUAACAGUUACAAACCCCCUCUAAAUGGAGUUAGCUCUUUUCGAUAGCGGAAAGCAGUGGUAUUACCAUCGUGGUGGGGCAAAAUUUAGAAACUGUAUUUAGGAUAGACUACGAUAAAAAUAUAAAAAGACAUCAACUUUUUCAAGAAAACGGGCGACGAGCUAGUUUGGUUGGGAAUACUAUAAUUUUUAAAAUAAUUGUAAUUAGUAUUACAGUAAAAAUUAUUAAUUAUGAAGAAAAUCAAUUAAAUAUUUAAUAAAAUUUAUUUUUUAAAAAUGUUAUGAGUUAUAAAAGCAGUCAUAUAUAUUUAGUAAAUUUAACUGUUAAACUACUGUAAGAAUAUAAAUGAUUGAAUUAGAUGUUAAGAAAAAUGUAUUUAGAUAUUUAUAAACAUGUAUAUAUAUAUAUAUAUAUAUUAUUGUGUAUACAUAAUAAUUGAUAACUAGAAAUAAAUAUUUUAUAUUAUUAAUUUUAUUUUUAUCUUGUUAUCUCAAUAUAAUUGGUAAUAAUAAUAAUCUCUUUAAAGUUAAUGAUUUUAUUACCUAAUUAAUAAGGAUAAUUUUAGAUUUUUAUAAUUUAUAUAAGGAUACAUAUGAAAUUGUAUACAAUAUAAAGUUGAUUUUCAAAAUCAAAUUUUAAAAAGCUACUCAUUUCUUACUUUUCAAGUGCAUCCGAAAAAUUGGAUAUUUGGAUCUGGUUAAAUUUUAUUUUAAAUUAAAAACUAAAUUAAAAAUAUUUAUUAAAAUUAAAUUAAAAAUUAAAAAUUAAAAUUUAUUUGUCAAUUUAUGUUGUUGUUGUAUGCUAUUCAUGUUGAAUUAUUAAUUGUUGAAUUAUGAUUGAAUUUUAUUUGAUAUUAUUAGGUAAAUUAUUGAAGGUUAUUUUAAAUUAAAAGUAAAUAUUAAAAAUUAAAUUGUAUUUGUGGAUCUUUAUGAUGUUGUUGUAUGUUACUCAUGUUUAAUUAUUAGUUGUUGAAUUAUGAUUGAAUUUUAUUAGGCAAAUUAUUGAAUUUUUAAAUUAUAUGUUAAAUUAUUGAAUUAUGACUUUUGCAGAUCUAGAUAUCCAAAAUAUCUGCCCACAUCUGUUGCGGAUAUAACCUGUAUCCGGAUUCACAUAUUUUUUUGCGGAUUCAGAUGUAGAUCCAAAUGUAGAAAUGUAAUGCAGAUAUAGAUGCAGAUGCACCUAUAUCAGGAUUCGGAUCCAGAUUUUGUCAACCCUAUUUCCCGCACUUUAAAAUUCUAGACCAAAAAACUACUAAUAUAUAUAGGGAAUAAUCUUUGAGUGAUAAUUAUAGAUUAUAAGAUUGUGGGGCUUUGAUUUUUUUUAAAAUUAUAUAAGUGUUUAGUUGAAUUUUUAUUGAAAAAAAUAAUUUUAACUUGGGUUAUUUAUGUAUUUUCAAUUGAAUAGGGGUUUAUAAAUACUUUUGUGGGGGUGUUACUAACAAUACUUCUUUUUCUUUUGGGGCGUGGGGCGUGGGGCGUGGGCUAUAAGUAUGGGUCAUGGCGAUCUAGCAUGUCCUCAUUGGCACCCUAAAAAAAUCCUCUUAGAAAUUUCAUUUUCAAUUAUAUUCUAUUUAGUGGUAAAGAUAAUAUUUUUUUCCCAUUAAAUAGACACUAAUUUCAUUUAUAAAUAUCUCAAGUUUUAAUAAUUUUCUCACUCUUGAAGUCUUAAUAUUUGUAUUCUUCUCUUCAAACUUUCUUUAUUAUUUAAUUUCUAUAAAAAAAUCUAAAAGAGAAAAAGUAAGAAAAACCUUAUACUUAGAAAAAGUAAGAAAAAGCUUAUUAUACAUAUAAGCUUUGGGUGGAGCGAUUAGUUUGAGAAUCCUCAAAAUUAUUUGAAGUGGGAUAAAAUUUUAUUUAGAGUAAUGAUAUAGUCACAAACUCUUGUACAAACUUAUUUUGUACACACUGAUGUGGCACGAUAAAAUUGGCUAAAUUAAAUAUCUCUUGACCCACAUGAUUUAUUUCUAUUAUUUUAUAUUUUCAUUCAACUAAUGAAUUAAUACCACAUCAGUUUGUGCAAAAUAAGUUUGUACAAGAAUUUGUGACUGUAUCAUCACUCUUUUAUUUAAUUUAUUUUCCAUUAUGUUGUAUCCUAAUUUGGUUGCUAUGUUUAUUACAAGAAUUUUGUUUUCGAUUAUAGAAUUACUAUGCAAGUAAAGUAAGUUGCAAAGAGAGAGAGAAAAUGUAAGUGGGUUAAUCUUAAUUCUAUUAAUAUUUGUCCUUAAAUAUGUAAUAUAAUAUAAGCAGAGUUUUAUGAGAUUAAUAAAGGGAUGCCAAUAGUCGACUGGUUAGGCGGGACCCCUACCUGUAAUAUAAAUCAUAAAAUGAAGCGAAUACACAAGGAGGGGGACAUAAACCAAAACCUCAAAGAGUAACUAAAAAUACACACGAAUAACUAAAAAAGAAUAAAGACAACAAAAAGAAAAGGAAAACCAUAAAUGCCAGCAUCUUAUGUGAGAAACAAUCUAUGCAUCCAAAUGGAGAAUACCAGAUAAGUCUGUAGGAAGAUCUUAAGGACAUAAGAAACACUGACUAGAUGAGACCAUGCCCAAUUGACCAAAAAAUUAGCAGCAGAGGUAGCCUUAUGAAACAGUCAGCUCUUAUAGUUUAUACAUGAGCCAACCUACUAAAUUUUUCAUUCAAUGUUAAACUUAUCUUGCCAAUUAUGCCAAUGACACAAUCUUGGGCGUUUAUAUAAUUUCAAUAAGAGUGAUAAAAGAUUUUGAUUGCAACAAAGUAUUUAUACAUAUUGUAUUUAUAUCAAUUAAUUGAGUAAUGACUCUAGCAUGGUUUGAACCCUCCCGACUAUAUAUAUAUAUAUAUAUAUAUAUAUAUAUAUAUAUAUAUAUAUAUAUAUAUAUAUAUAUAUAUAGAAAUGUUUAAAUCCAGAAUUUUAAAGUGCGGAAACGUCCGGGAAAAUGUAUAAACCGUGCGGUUUAAGCGCUUUAAGUUUUCCCGGACUUUUCCCGCACUUUAUGAUCCCGGAUAAAAAAACUACUAUAUAUAUAUAUAUAUAUAUAUAUAUAUAUAUAUAUAUAUAUAAGAGUGCUGGUAUAACAAUAUUGUAUAAUAAAUAUUUAAUUAGUUUAACAUUCGUAUUUAAUAACCACCAAUAAAAGUCUUGCAUUUUGAUUAGAUAAGGUAUAAAAGGGUUGCAGUUUUUAUUUCAUAUUGUAAUGAUAGUACUUUUAAAAUACAGUAUAAAAAUAAGGAUUAGAUUCCUCUCCUGGUUUAAGCAUUCAUGACCUUUUAAUAAUCUUAUUCCAUAUGUCAUGUAGUAAUAGUGUAUGGAUAGAAUAUAUUUUAAAUUUAUUAACCACCAAUGAACACAUAAAUUUUUAUUUAGAAGAAGUUCAAAUCAACAGAUUUUAAUCCGUGAACAUAAUAGAGAUCGAAGAGAAACUACAACUCAAAUAAGAAAAAAAGCCUUACAACUUCAUUUAACAAAUAUUAAAAAAGCCUUACAACUUCAUUUAAUAAAUAUUAAAAAAGCCUUACAACAUUUAUAUUAGAUUCACGAGCAACAAGGGAUCAAUAUUGAACAUGACAUGCAAUUAUUACAUCGAGACAUGAAUGUGUCUUCAAGUAUUAUACGAACUUGAAGCUCUCACACGUUAUUGUUAUUCUUUUAUGAGAAAAUAAACGAAACUAGUAACAUAUAAAAUAUUAAUAUGGUCAAUUAAUAUAUAUAUGUAUGUAUGUAUAUUUCCCUCAGAAACUGCAUAUGCGUGGGGCGUCACCAAUUAAUUAAUGGGUGGACACUGAAAUCCUGCUGGCGGAUACUUGCCACAGUCGUUGACAAGUACUUGCAGGGAGAUGGGUACGAGAAGAUUGAUGAGAUUUGGAGCCUUAAUUCUAAUGGCAGUGCAAAGACAUAUUGCAGCAUCCAAAUCUACUAGCCCAUGAAGCAAUGGGCAGCAUUUCUCCUUAGCACUGUCGCCAAGACCAAUGUGAAUUAAACCACCAAGAACAUCGACACAUGCACUAAGCUUGAGAGCAUUAAUGGGACAAGUUUUUUGUUGUUUUGGUGGCGGUGGGUAUCUCACGUUUGGUGGUGUUGGUGGCGAUUUUACAACUGGAGGAGGAGUUGGUUUUUCCUUUGGCGGUGGUGGUGGUUUCACAACUGGAGGAGGAGGAGUACUGGGUUUCACCUUUGGUGGUGGUGGUGGUUUUACAACUGGAGGAGGAGGAGUGGUUUUCACCUUUGGUGGGGGUGGUGGUUUUACAGCUGGAGGAGGAGGAGUUGGUUUCACUUUUGGUGGUCGGGGCGGCGGCUUAGGGCUCGGCGAAUGAGGCGGUGGGGGACAAUUUGGUGAAGAAGGAGGAGGAGGGGUUGGUUUGGAGCAGUCACAAGCUAAAGAAGAGAGCAAAGCACCCGAGUUCAGGAGGACAAUCAAGAAACUAGUUAAUUGAUAUUUGCCCAUGAUGAAAUAAUUUCGAAACUCUCUAAUGAACUAGCUAGCUAGGGUUUGGAAUGCAUUCACUAUUGAAUGAGUGCCUUUUUAUAGAGAGUAAGAAGUUUUGGAUUUUUAAAAUUUUUCAGUUUUAAUUCGUUGAUCCAUAGACUUAAGGGCAAAGUACAACCCAAGCCAACUCACGAAUGGACAGAUAGACAGACAUUAUAUAUUUUUUUCUUUAAUGCUUGGAACAUGGGAUUGAUUAUCGUUUUAAGGAAGAAGACUCGAUUGAUUAUUUAACCAAAAAGUUGGUAUAGUUAAUUAAGCGUAUUGUUCUUAUAAUUUGAAACGUAAAAUUUGCAAUUAAUCUCUAGCAAAUGCAAAACUUAAAACUCUAAUAUAACUUCUGCAUUAGAAUUUCGAAGGGCGUGGGGACCUGUACUCUCAAUUUCACAUGAAUAUUUGCAAGCUGUUCAAUCAUUGAAGACGAAUGCAAGCAACAAGCAUCUUGCGGGGACACUUCUUCAUUUUUCUUUGGGCCGUUACAUGAUAACAAUAUUUAUAGUUAUAUUAUUAGCCCAUUAACUAAUCUUAAUAUUAGAUAUUUUAACCUAUUAACUAAUCUUAAUAUGAGAUAUUUUUGUUAGUAUUUUUUACUAGUCCUUGUCAUGUAUAAAAUAGACCCACUAGUACACAAGUAAGAGUCUAUCUCAUGUAAAAAUUAACUCAAGAGUUGAGAGUUGUCUCAAGUUUAUAUUUAAUUCAAUAAGUUUUCUCAACCUAUCUGAGAUUUUUUCCUUAUCAUCCCCAUCACUUGCAAACCAAUAUAUCUUUUGUUUUUUUGGUCUUUAUCAUGCGGAAAAAUACAUAGUAUGUGCCAACUUGUGCAUAACUAUGAAUCUAAUACCAUAUAAAGGUAUGUGAGUCUAAUUCAUACUCUAAAAUUAGCUCAAGAGUUAAGGAUUACCUCUAAUUUAUAUUACUAGUUCAGUAACUAAUCUCAGCAUAUGGUGGCUCCACCAGAGGAAAGUGUUAUGCACCUAUAUACAUAAAUUAUAAUGAGUAAAAUUAUUCAUGAUGAUACAACCACAUUAAUGAAUAAUCAGUAGUAAUUGAACCAUGAAAGUGUCAUUCUUCGUUUAAGGGUGCCUUUGACAUAUUGUUUGCACACACAAAAAAAAAAAAAAAAGCGCUCAAAAAAGCCCCAAUUAAGGAUGUCCAUUGUACCCACAUAUGUCAGCAUAUGUGAGUUCUGAAACUCUUCAAAAAAAUACCUUUAUAUUAUUCGGAGUAUAAAUUUAUCUUGGAGAGUUUGGAGCAGAUUUGAUUUGGGUUUUCGUAAAAUUUAAUAUUCAAACAACUACUACUUCUUUAAAAGCAUAAAUAAACAAAUAAAUAAGGUGAUUAAUUUUUGUUUAAUUAGUGUGGUCAUUAAUUAUAGCGAUAUUGAAAUUUUAAUGCAUGAUCUUCUAAGAUUUGUUUUAGUUUUGAGAUUUCAGAUCAUAGUUGUUUGAUUUAUAUUUUAUUAUUUUGUGUUUUCAAAUCUUCGUGUAAAAAUGUCAACUACGCUUGCGCAAAUCUUGCUUUGUCCAUCUUUAAAAGAUCUGAAGAAGCUUCGAUUGCUCCCAAACUUUUAGAAAGAAUUCAAAAAUAUUAAUAUAUACCGCAUGAUAUGCGCUCACUGUUUAGAAAAAAAAUGUACUGCUAGAGUUUAUUUUUAAAUAUUCUCAAACUGCAUUCUGUUUUCUUACUAUAUUUUGGGAAAAUCAGUAUAAUUGAGAUGCGAAUAAGGUCGACAAUUAUACUAUUAAAAUGCAGUACAUGUGUUAUUUACGCAUUGCUUAUCUAAAUAGUUUGUUUUAUUUGCGCAUUGUUUAUAUAUAUAUAUAUUUAUUUAUUUAUUUAUUUAUUUAUUUAUCUAUAAUGUAUAACGAGGAUUCCCAAUCUUUUAAAUAUAAUAAAUAUGAAAAAUCGUUCUUCGUUUCUUGCAUGGCCAUUUUAAUAAAGCAGGUUAAGUUUAGGGAUGGCAAAAUCCUCCACGGGUUUGGGGCCCCAUGGAGCCCCACCCCAAAUGGAGAAAUUUUUUAGUAAUUUUUGGGGAAUGGGGUGGGGAAUGGGGGAAAAGUAAUCCCCAAAUUGUUAACGGGGUGGGGUUUGGUAUUGCACUCCCCACCCCACUCCCACCCCAAUCCCCAUUAUAUAUAAAUAUGUUUUUAAUUCUUAUUUAAUAAUUUGUAUUUUAUCAACUAUAAUGUCAAUUAAUGAUUUUUUUUAAUUUUUAUGUAAUAUAAAUAAAAUAUGAAUAAAAGAAAAUUCUACAAUAUUUUUCAACUUUAAAACAUUAAUAUAUUUUCUUUUCUCUUUUAAGGUGCUGCUUUCUUUAAAUAUUUUUCACUUUUAAUAUCAUUUUAAGAUAUUGUUUCAAAUUUUUAGAGAUUUUUUUUUAAAAUUAAAUACUUUAUAAUAUUGUGAUGAUUUUAUCUUAAGUCUCUAAUUUUUAAUUUACUGAAAUCAUAUUUUUAUAUCUACUAUAAAAUAUGUAAAUGGGGAAUGGGGUGGGGAUGGGGGAAUCAUUCCCCACGUGGGGAUUCCCCAUCCCCAACCCACUAAAUUUAUUGGGGAAUGGAGGCAAAAAUUUUUAAUGGGGUAGGCAUCCCCACCCCCACCCCGCCCCAUUGCCAUCCCUAGUUAAGUUAACGUGAAGUUACAUUUUUGAUCAUUCUGCCAUCUGAAGUAAGACCACAAAGUCGUGACUAUUGUGUAAAAGAAAAGUGAAAACAGAUCAAAGGUGAACAGUUUGACCUAUAAUUUCUCUGUUAACAAAACUAUAAUUAUUUUUUAUCGAACCCAAAAAAAGUAAAAAAAAAAAAAAUGUGUCCAAUAAGCGUUUAGCCUCAAUAAUUGCAUGCAUGCACAGAUAAUGUUCAUGAAAAAUCGACAGUGUUGAUGCAAGAAUUUUCGCGCACCAGCAGGAAGGCCGAAUAACCUUGGUGGUGAGGAUCCUGGGUAAAAUACCGGAGAUGGAAAAUGCGGUUGCUAGCUUUUGAAUUGCUUUAAUUUCAUAGAUACGAAAUAUAUCCAAUGAUACAGUAAAGAAAUAACAUAUGAUAGUAACAAGCCAAUUAGCUAGAUCUCUUCUUUUUAAGCUGACCUUGGUCUUUGUCACCUUGAUGAUAAGAUCCUUCGUGGUAGAAAUAGUAAAGAACAGGUGAGGAUCUCCUCAUGAAGCUAUUUCGAAGUCAAUAAGUAAUGGUGAGGUCAGCAAGAACCUUCUCUCUUAAUUAGUUGCUCUUCCCUCUCUCCUCGAUCAUCUCUUGAAUUAUAUGGGUGCUAUCUCCACGAGUUAAAAGACUUAUUUGUGUUCUUUUUUGUAGAGAAAAUAAAAUAUUCCUGUGCUACGUUCCUCAUUCUUAAUCCACCAUAGUUCUUCUGUUGGACAUUUGUUCUAUUUUCGUUAGUUGUGAUUCCUCAUCCUUAAUCCAUAACUCUUCUAUUGGACACAUGUUCUCCUUUCGUUAGUUAUGUUGAGAUUUCUUAAUGAAAUUUUACUAUAAGAAAAAAAAAAUAGUAAGUAGAGAUUAAUAAAAUCACCUUAAGUACUUUUUUGAGAUAAAAGUCACCUCAUGUACUUUAGAAAUGAUUAACUUUGUUUUUAAGUUAUUUUCAUAUUUAGAUAUUGAGCAUGCUGUCGUAUAUUCUAUAUUUUUUUUAUAUCAACAUGGUGGCAUAUUUUUUUUCUUUUUUUUUUUUGGUAUAACAGAUAAUAUAUGUGCCCUCGCCCCUCGCUCUUUGAAAUUCUAAUGCAUCGGAUACAAGGUAAUUCAUAUAAAAAAGACAAUUUUAAUAAGAUAAUCUUCGAAUACUCUCAUUGAUGAUGUGAACCCUUACCCGCAGCCUCUGCAGUAAAGCCUUCACUAGCUGGCUAAGCCCUUAAUUAGUAAUGACACAUUAAUAAUAUGAUCAAUCGACCAUUGAUCUUCUUGGUAUCACAAUGAAUCCCAUGUUUCAAGCAUGCAAUGAAAGAAAAAGGUAAAUGUCCGUUUAUCUGCCCAUUUGUGAGUUUGCUUGGAUUUUCCUUUAAGCCCUCGAGUCAAUGAAGCAAUCAAAAAUCAUAAAAAAGUAAAACGACCCAAAUACAAAACUCUCUCUAUAAAAAGGCAUCCAUUCAGUAGUGAAUGCACACCAAACCAGCCAGUUCGUUAGGGAGCUUUUGAAAUUAUUUCAUCAUGAGCAAAUAUCAAUUAACUAGUUUCUUGAUUGUCCUCUUGAACUUGGGCACUUUGGUCUCUUCUCUAGCUAAUGACCACUCAUAUAAUCUUCCUCCUCCUCUUCCUUCACCAAGCUGUCCCCCACCGCCUCAGUCGCCGAGCCCUAAGCCGCCGCCGCCACCACCACCAAUUGUUUACCCAACUCCUUGUCCCCCAGUUACAAAACCACCACCCACGCCAGAGGUGAAACCCACUCCUCCUCCUCCAGUUGUAAAACCACCACCCACGCCAGAGGUGAAACCCAAUCCUCCUCCUCCAGUUGUAAAACCACCACCACCACCACCAAAACAACAAACUUGUCCAAUUGAUGCUCUCAAGCUUGGUGCAUGCGUCGAUGUCCUUGAAGGUUUAAUUCACACUGGUCUUGCUCGUGAUGUUAAGAAGAAAUGCUGCCCAUUGCUUGACGGGCUAGCAGACUUGGAUGCUGCAAUAUGUCUUUGCACUGCCUUAGAAUUAAGGCUCUAAACCUCAUCGAUAUCCUCGCACCCUUCUCUUUGCAAGUACUUGUCACCGACUGCGGCAAACAUCCGCCAGUAGGAUUUCAGUGUCCUACCAAUUAAUUGGUGACGCCCCAUGCAUACCAUGCAGUUUGCGUGAAAAGGAGAUCUUAAUCGAUCAUAUUAAUAAUUGCAUGUUACUAGUUUCGUUUAUUUUCUCAUAAAAAAAUAAUAAUAAUAACGUGUGGGAGCUUCAAGUUAGUAGUACUUGAAGGCAUGCACGUGCGUGUGUGCGUAUGCCUUAUCCAUCAGUGAUAUCGCUUAUCAGUUGUAAAACCAAUAUUGUAUGUUGUGCAAUCCAAAUAAGGAAAAAAAAAAUGAAUGUUGUGGAAUAAAUAUUAGGGAAAAGGACAUUCAACCCUUCAACGUUUAGGAAAAUAGACAAAAAACCCUUCAACGUUUCAAAAAGGACUUAUAACUCCCUUUCCGUUAAUAAACACCGUUUGUUUUAACAGUAAAUUAUUUUUAAUUUUUAAUUACUAUUAUACCCUUAUAAUAAAUAUAAAUUAAUAUAUUGAUUUGAGACAUGUCACAAUUAAUAAUUUUUUUUAAACUAAAAAUUGAGAUACAAUUACAUUUUUGCCCAAAUUAUUUGCUACAAAUUAUACAUUUCUAAUGAUCAAACCUUUCAUAUGUGAUUAUUACUAAUAAAACGAAAUUUGAUUAAACCCUUUUUCUUUGAGGAAUCAAAACCAUAUUAUUAUUGUUAGAAAGGUAUAAUUUAUAGUAAAUAAUUUUGGCAAAAAAAUAAUUGUAUCUCAAUUUUAAGCUUUUAAAAAAUUAUUAAUUGUGAUAUAUCUCAAAUUAAUAUAUUAAUUUUUUUAUUAUAAGGGUAUAAUAGUAAUUAAAAUUUAAAAAUAAAUUUACUGUUAAAACAAACGGUGUUUGUUAACGGAAAGGGGGUUAUAAGUCCUUUUUGAAACGUUGAAGGAUUUUUUGUCCAUUUUCCUAAACGUUGGGGGGUUAAAUGUCAUUUUUCCUAAAUAUUAUUUACUGACAAAUUGUUUGGCAUUUAUUUUAGGGAGAGUGACAUUUUAUUUCUUCUUAAAAUUUAUUUCUAACACUUUAACUUUUAAUAUAUGUUUAAUACACCAUUUUAUUCAGAUGUUUGAACAGUUACUAACAAAAUACAGUUUUGAACGGUAAAAGUUAUAUUUCAAUAAAUAACUUAACUAAUUUUUAAUCUGCAGAGGUUUGGGCUAGCCAAUUUGGACAUGAGAAUGUCACCUUUAUUCUUCAACGACCUGUAUUUUUUCUAUUGUCGUUUUAACUCCAAAGAUGAAAUGAGAUAAAGAAAAAAAAAAAAAAGCUACUAGGGACUAAAUAGGUAAAUAGAAAGUUUAGGAGGGAUUAAAAUACUAUUCUUCUUUUAGUUUCUAUAUUUUAAGUUAAGUAUUUAUUUAAUCCCUAUUUUUAAAAAGUAUCUCAAGACAAUCAUGUUGCAAAACGUGUUACACUCCUAUCCUUUCUUUAUUUUUUAUUUUUCAAUAAUACAUUUGCAAUAAUAUUCUUGAAGAUAUUAAUAAAUAGGAAAAAAAUAGAAACUUAUCAAAUUAACCUUAAAAGUAAUAUAAAAAAUUACACAAACUUUUAUAUUAUUAUUUUACGUUUAGGAUUAAUUUAAUAAAUUCAUUUUUUAUAAAAUAAUUAUUCAUAAGAUUGUUGUAAGGUUAUUAAAAAUUAUUUUAAUUGACUGAUAUUAAUUUGUUUAUAAAUCAUUAUUAGUAAAAUUGUUGCACGGUACAAAAAAUACUAUUUCUUUCACAUAGAUAUUUAUUGGUUAAUUUACUAAUAAAUGACGAAUAAUUAAUUUACCAAUUAACUUUUUUAUAGAUAAAUUAAUUAAUGUCAAGAAUAUUGUUGGAAGGGCUAAAUAGAAAGAAAAACUAAGGGUAAGAAUGUAACGUAUUUAACUACAAGAGUGUUUUGAAGUAUUAUAUGGGUGCCAAAAGACUUAUUUGUGUUAUUUCCACGAGUUAAAAGACUUAUUUGUGUUCUUGUUUGUAGAGAAAGUAGAAUAUUUAUGUGUUAUGUUUCUCAUUCUUAAUCCAUAACUCUUCUGUUGGACAUGUGUCCUAUUUUCGUUGGCUGUUGAUUUCUCAUCAUUAAUCCAUAACUCUUCUAUUGGACAUGUGUCCUACUUUCGUUAGUUGUUGAGAUUUCUUGAUGAAAUUUUGCUAUGAGGAAAAAUAUAAAAUAGUAAGUAAAGAUUAAUAAAAUCACCUCAAGUAUUUUUUUGAGAUAAAGGUCAGCUCAUGCGCUUUAGAAAUGAUCAACUUAGUUUUUAAGCUAUUUUCAUAUUUAGAUAUUGAGCAUGUUGUCGUAUAUUCUAUUUUUUUAUAUCCACAUGGUGGCAUUUUUUUUUUUUUUUUGGGGGGUAUAACAGAUAAUAUAUGUGCCCUCGCCCCUCGCUCUUUGAAAUUCUAAUGCAUCGGAUACAAGGUAAUUCAUAUAAAAAAGACAAUUUUAAUAAGAUAAUCUUCGAAUACUCUCAUUGAUGAUGUGAACCCUUACCCGCAGCCUCUGCAGUAAAGCCUUCACUAGCUGGCUAAGCCCUUAAUUAGUAAUGACACAUUAAUAAUAUGAUCAAUCGACCAUUGAUCUUCUUGGUAUCACAAUGAAUCCCAUGUUUCAAGCAUGCAAUGAAAGAAAAAGGUAAAUGUCUGUUUAUCUGCCCAUUUGUGAGUUUGCUUGGAUUUUCUUUCAAGCCCUCGAGUCAAUGAAGCAAUUAAAAUUAACGAAAAAGUAAAACGACCCAAAUUCAUAACUCUCCCUACAAAAUGGCAUCCAUUCAGUAGUGAAUGCACUCCAAACCAGCCAGUUCGUUAGGGAGUUUUUGAAAUUAUUUCAUCAUGAGCAAAUAUCAAUUAACUAGUUUCUUGAUUGUCCUCUUGAACUUGGGCACUUUGGUCUCUUCUCUAGCUAAUGACCACUCAUAUAAUCCUCCUCCUCCUCCCCCCGUUACAAAACCACCACCCCCCCAAAAGUUGAAACCCACUCCUCCUCCUCCGGUUUUAAAACCACCACCGCCGGCGCCGCCAAAGCUGAAACCUCCUCCUCCUCCUCUAGUUGUAAAACCACCACCGCCGGCGACGCCAAAGGUGAAACCUCCUCCUCCUCCUCCAGUUGUAAAACCGCCGCCGCCGCCACCGCCAAAGGUGAAACCUCUUCCUCCUCCUCCAGUUGUAAAACCACCACCACCGCCGCCAAAGGUGAAAC
rnacentral:lncRNA from 1 species